GCCUCCGCGGCGCAAUCAUUUCAGCGCGGUCGGCUGUUAACCGAAAGGUUGGUGGUUUCGAGCCCCACCGGGGACG